AUCUUUUUUUCUCCCAGCUAUGAGUAGGGAUAGCAGAACCACGAGGAGUAAGAGGUGCUUUCCUCCUGGAAGGAUGAAGGUGUCUGCACACCAUCCUGGGUUGCUGUAACUGGACCUGUUUCUAUAUCACACAAGUAACUGGCCCAGAGAUCCUUUGUCAGUCCCCAGAGGCUACCCCUUGCAAAGGAAGCCAGAAACCCAAAGCCAGUGUUCUUGCUCCCAACUUCAAGGCUUUUCAAGUGCUCAUCUUCCAGAGAAGGAAUGUCUCAUGGGGAUGAGAGGGAUUUCUGUGCUUCCUGAUGCUUUUCCUGAUAACCCCAAGACUGGCUAUGUCCCUUCAUUUCUGACUCUACUCAAAUGCUGCCCUCCACAAAAGUGGCCUGCCAUCCAAGAGACCCUCACUUUGUUUUAGUUGUGCCUAUUAAUUGCUGCCUAUGCCUGAAGUGUUGCUGUGGACCAAGUCUGCUUUCAGCUUCCCUUUGAUAAUUUCACCUCUGCAGCAGAGACGCUCAGAUGUUGUGUUGACUGCCGUUGGUCGCACACCUAGAACAGCUGCACAUGCCAUAGAGAUUCAUUCAGUACUGUCGGGGUGAAGGAAUGAAUGGGCAGAAAGAAGUCCAAGAGAGACUUGUGUGAAGGCCAUUGUCACUGUUGCUGUGAAGGUCCUCUGUUCUCCUCCCUGGGGAAUGACAGAAAAGUAGAGCUGACUAGACUCCAACCCAGGUGAGGAAACAGGGACUCAUCUCUGACUGGGGAGGCUGCCUUGGACCAAUGGGCAGUUUACCCCCUCACCUCUGAUCAUUGAGCUGGGACCUUAAUUUACUGGGUCCAUCCCUAACUGAGUUAGUUUCUCAAGCCUUCCUUGUGACAUAAAAUUUAUUUUCCAAACCAGCAAGCCCUAGAAACCAGGUGGGCCUUGAGUUUGGAUUUGGAUGUUCUGGAGAGACUCUGAAGUUUCGGAACGUGAUGCUCAGAUCCAAAAUUAGCGUGUACUUUGUGCUGUACUUUCUGUUCCUUUUCCUUUCCUUUCUUUGAAAGAAGCCUGGAGCUCAGGCUAGACUGGCUGCCCAGCACGGAGAUGACAACACAUGCCACCAGGUUCUGCUUUGUUUCCACAUAGGAAUCUGGCCCAGACCCACACGCUAGGGUAGUCAGCACUUAACCAACUGAGCUGUCUCUCCAGCUCCAAGGUUUCCUAGGACACACUUCCCCAUGGUGGAAGCCCUCAUGUGAGGCCGGUGAAUCUGCUCAUCAUGCAACUGGGUGAGCAGCAGCACCCAAGGCUUCGUGGACAACACAGAGAUGCUUUAAGACUGAGGCUAGUGUCCUGGACAUACUGGGAGGGAUUCUGCCAGAAUGGAUUCCAGUACAGGAAGAACGCUUGCUGCUUCUCCAGGAAGUUCCUGCUCCACCACAGAAAAGAGAAACAAAUGGCUUUCAAUUCAGUUAAAUUGGAGGCAGCUUUCACCCUCCUGUUUCAGGAAGGUCUGUGUUGUCUGGGCCCUGUGGCCAUGGAAUGUCAACAGCCUCACCUUACCAGCAGGACACUGGGGGACUGUAAAGAGCUCACUGUGAUCAAAUUCUUCUUUCCCAGGUUUAUCUCAUUAAGUAGAUUCUUUUCAUUUUAACCAGAGCUGCAUCAAACUGUAGGUGUCCCGUGUGUAGAUCAACCUGUGAGAAGAUCAGUUCCAGGAUAAGGAAUAGAUGCUCGAAUUGCCCUGAUGAACAAGGUUCCCAUUACAGUGGCACACAGAGUCAAAUCCUGUUAAUCCCACCUCUGUCUGUUUCCUUGGGAUUUGAACAGUGGCCUGGAAUAUGCUAUCCUGCAUGCAGUUUCUGCACACCAAAGACACAGAGCAGCCAGGAGGCAGCUCUGUUCUCUGAAAAUAUCCAGUUUUACAUUGUUGACUAGCCACAUGCUAGAUACCAGGUAUCAACUCAGUCAGCCUCAGGCUGGCCAGAAAGAGAUGUAUGGACAGACAGUGGGACCUGUCCAAGAGAGGAAUGCUCCAGUCUGUUGGGUACCAACAUGUACAACUCUCAUCCAAGAGUCUUCCUUCUGAACCCUGGUGGCAAGGUCAUAUGCAACUGAACAUUAAGCAGUCUCUGUUCAGAUUCUAGAGCCCACUCUCUUCCUGGUUCUACUGAUGCUUGUGAUGUUUGUGAUGCAGGAUAUGUGACCACCAUGCUGACAACUAGACCAUGACAUUUUCUGAGGAGAUGAGCAGAUGUCUAUUCAUUUCAGAUCACUACCAAUAAACCAAAGAAAUGACUCC
ensembl:lincRNA Gm40289 predicted gene, 40289